GCCUGCUGUCAUGCAACGUGUCUUUGCUCCUCCUUCACCUUCCGCCAUGAUUGUGAGGCUUCCCCAGCCAUGUGGAAACAUAUUCGCAGAGCACCCACUAGGUGCCAGUAAAUGUAUGAGAAGUCCUGUGGAAUAAGACUGAAGUUGUCCUUGCCUUCAAGCAACUUGCAAUUGCCUAAGAACACAGUUUAAAACCACAAAACUAAGCCUUGGAAAUCACAUGCUGUCAUUUCUGCGAUCGGUCAUAACCAGUCCUGAUUCCAUGUUAGAGGAGACUACAUAAGGACACAGGUACCAGAAGAUGAAAAAUUUGGAGUCUAGUGAAAAGAAGUGACUUGCUCAAAAUCACACAGCACAUGAAGAACAGAGCCUCUAUGAUGAAUUUCUUGACAGGAUCCCAUUGAGGAUGCCACAUUAUGUUUCAUUGCCAUGUCUCCAUAGACUCUUCUUGGUUGUGAUGGUUUCUCACGCUUUUCUUGGUUUUGAAGACGUUGACAAUUUUCUUCCAUUGGGAUUUGCUUGAUGCUUUUCUCAUGAUUACACUGGAACUGUGACUUUUUAGAAGGAAGAUCAUAGAGGAGAAGAAACUGAGGUUCAAGGACUAGUAACCAGCAGCAGAUCACACAGCUGGAAGACAACUAAGAGCAAAAAAACUCACAACAGAUGGAGGACUCAAUGCUUAUGUUGGAGAAGGAAGCUACAUUGUCCCUGAGUUCAUGGAAAUGUCAAGUCUAGAAGAUGGAAAAGUUCAGUUAAUAUCUCCAGAGACCCACA
rnacentral:lncRNA from 1 species